GCAGGUGUAGUAUAACGGUUAUUAUGUCAGCUUGCCAUGCUGAAGAUGGGGGUUCGAUUCCCCUCGCUUGCUCCA
rnacentral:tRNA from 1 species